UCUCUGACCUGGCAGGGGAGAUACCAUGAUAACAAAGGUGGUUUUCCCAAGGUGAGACAUAUCCAUUGCACUCCGGAUGUGCUGAACCAUGAUUUCCCCAAAUGUGGAAAACAAGAUUGGCUAAUUUGUGGUAGUGGGGGACUGCAUUAAAGCUUUCCCCUG
ensembl:snRNA U1 U1 spliceosomal RNA